GCCGAAGUGGCGGAACUGGUAGACGCGCAAGUUUCAGGUAUUUGUGUCCGCAAGGACGUGCAGGUUCGAGUCCUGUCUUCGGCA
rnacentral:tRNA from 1 species